rnacentral:lncRNA from 1 species
CUCUAUCCUAAGGUUAACUUAGAUCUAGACAGCUCCUAACUUUCAAGACCGCCUUUGAGCACUCCAAGCUCAAGACUGACUAACUGACUUGGCCAGGUAAGCAUAAGAUGUGGGAGGUUUCCUGCUCGUUGCUUUCCUUAGACACCAACUGAGUUGGCCAGAUCAGUCAACGGAACCAAUUGAAAACCACUUUCUUUAACCACUUGUCUUAGACACCGAGCAAUUAACCAAUCUGCACUCGGUUCAACUCUAGAGCUUUCUUAUCCUAUUGAGCUCGAAAUUCUUAGGGGUCAACAUCUAAUUAAUUUUAGAUUAAGGUCUAGGUUAUGCAAAUGCAAGGGAGUGAUUUGUGGGCCAAAGAAGGGUGAUCAAAUCUUCAUCUUAUCUGAUUAAUGGAUUAUUGCCCUUAAGAUUAAUUAUGGAGAUGAGAUGCAAAGAAACAAGGUGUCCAAUCAAGUUAGAAAUUUUUAUAUUUGAGGUUACGCUAUUUUAGUUAAGUAUUAUGAAAUGUCAGUGGCU